UUGCUUCGGCAGCACAUAUACUAAAAUUGAAAUGAUACAGAGAUGAUUAGCCCCUACACAAGGAUGACCCACAAAUUUGUGAAGCGUUCCAUAUUUUA
rnacentral:snRNA from 1 species